CAUCAGAAGGGGAUAACACUUGGAAACAGGUGCUAAUACCGUAUAACAAUCGAAACCGCAUGGUUUCGAUUUGAAAGGCGCUUUCGGGUGUCGCUGAUGGAUGGACCCGCGGUGCAUUAGCUAGUUGGUGAGGUAACGGCUCACCAAGGCGACGAUGCAUAGCCGACCUGAGAGGGUGAUCGGGCCCACAUUGGGGAAUUGAGACACCGGGCCCCAAAAUUCCUUACGGGGAAGCCAGCCAGUAAGGGAAUUCUUCGGCCAAAUGGAACGAAAAGUUCUGACCCGAGCAACCGCCCGCCGUGAGUGAAAGAAAGGUUUUUCGGAUCGGUAAAACUCUUGUUUGUUAGAGAAGAACCAAGGAUGAGAAGUAACUGGUUCAUCCCUUUGACGGGUAUCUAACCCAGAAAGCCACGGCUUAACUACGUGCCAGCAGCCGCGGUAAUACGUAGGUGGCAAGCGUUGUCCGGAUUUAUUGGGCGUAAAGCGAGCGCAGGCGGUUUCUUAAGUCUGAUGUGAAAGCCCCCGGCUCAACCGGGGAGGGUCAUUGGAAACUGGGAGACUUGAGUGCAGAAGAGGAGAGUGGAAUUCCAUGUGUAGCGGUGAAAUGCGUAGAUAUAUGGAGGAACACCAGUGGCGAAGGCGGCUCUCUGGUCUGUAACUGACGCUGAGGCUCGAAAGCGUGGGGAGCAAACAGGAUUAGAUACCCUGGUAGUCCACGCCGUAAACGAUGAGUGCUAAGUGUUGGAGGGUUUCCGCCCUUCAGUGCUGCAGCUAACGCAUUAAGCACUCCGCCUGGGGGAGUACGACCGCAAGGUUGAAACUCAAAGGGAAUUGACGGGGGCCCGCACAAGCGGUGGAGCAUGUGGUUUAAUUCGAAGCAACGCGAAGAACCUUACCAGGUCUUGACAUCCUUUGACCACUCUAGAGAUAGAGCUUCCCCUUCGGGGGCAAAGUGACAGGUGGUGCAUGGUUGUCGUCAGCUCGUGUCGUGAGAUGUUGGGUUAAGUCCCGCAACGAGCGCAACCCUUAUUGUUAGUUGCCAUCAUUUAGUUGGGCACUCUAGCAAGACUGCCGGUGACAAACCGGAGGAAGGUGGGGAUGACGUCAAAUCAUCAUGCCCCUUAUGACCUGGGCUACACACGUGCUACAAUGGGAAGUACAACGAGUCGCAAAGUCGCGAGGCUAAGCUAAUCUCUUAAAGCUUCUCUCAGUUCGGAUUGUAGGCUGCAACUCGCCUACAUGAAGCCGGAAUCGCUAGUAAUCGCGGAUCAGCACGCC
rnacentral:rRNA from 1 species